AGGACGAACGCUGGCGGCGUGCUUAACACAUGCAAGUCGAGCGGUAAGGCUCCUUCGGGAGUACACGAGCGGCGAACGGGUGAGUAACACGUGAGCAAUCUGCCCUUCUCUUUGGAAUAAGCGCGGGAAACUGCGUCUAAUGCCGAAUACGACUUCCUUUCGCAUGUUAGGAAGUGGAAAGCUCCGGCGGAGAAGGAUGAGCUCGCGGCCUAUCAGCUUGUUGGUGAGGUAAUGGCUCACCAAGGCAUUGACGGGUAGCCGGCCUGAGAGGGUGACCGGCCACACUGGGACUGAGACACGGCCCAGACUCCUACGGGAGGCAGCAGUGGGGAAUAUUGGACAAUGGGCGAAAGCCUGAUCCAGCAACGCCGCGUGAGGGAUGACGGCCUUCGGUUGUAAACCUCUUUCAGUAGGACGAAGCGAAAGUGACGUACCUACAGAAGAAGGACCGGCCAACUACGUGACCAGUAGCCGAC
rnacentral:rRNA from 1 species